AGCACGUUAUGGUGGGCGACUCUAAGGAGACUGCCGGUGACAACCGAGGAAGUGGGGAUGACGUCAAGUCAUCAUGGCCCUUACGGCCUGGGCUACACACGUGCUACAAUGGUCGGUACAAAGGGUUGCCAAGCCGCGAGGUGGAGCUAAUCCCAUAAAACCGAUCGUAGUCCGGAUCGCAGUCUGCAACUCGACUGCGUGAAGUCGGAAUCGCUAGUAAUCGUGAAUCAGAAUGUCACGGUGAAUACGUUCCCGGGCCUU
rnacentral:rRNA from 1 species